UAGGCAAAAGCCCAUGAGCCCAUCUUGGCUUUGUUCCCAAAUUAGGUUUUCGUAAAAUAAAAGAAAGAUAACAUCUUUCAUAUCCACCCACACACCUUCGUCUUCUUCUCCUCUCGAACAGAUCUGAAAAAUAAUGCCGUGUUCUAAACUUUCGAAUUUGGCACUCUCUUUCGAUUCCGAUGGGCUGCGUCCUCCAGAAACGCCGUUCAGCCGCUGCGUUAUAGUCGUCCGUCGAUGUUCAGGCCAAUGGAGCCGAUCAUUUUCUCUAUUCGCGGAGAGUCAUCGUUCAUCGUCGAUGUCACCAUUCUAAUUUCUUCCUCUACUCCUCUCAACAAUGGCGGCACCAAAUCCUCCUCCUCAUAUUGGCCCUAUUGGCCCUCUCCGUAGACCAGGCUGGUACAAUCUCCAGACAAUCCAUGAAAAUCACGUUUGAAUUUAUCCACAUAGAGGGACCCUGGAUGGUGUGAGGUAUACGGAGAGUACCAAUUUUGUGAAUGAAGCAUAUCGGCGGAGGGUCCACCGCAGGUCUCAGCUCCAUGGAACCUUGGCUGUCGUGCACUACCGCAUCGUCUAGAGUUCACUUUUCUCCACCUCUUUCUAGAAAGAAGAGUAUAAUUCGGAGAAAGAUGAAGAUCGUCCAAUAGUGAUCUACGGAUAGCUAACAAAAACUUAUAUAUAUAUAUAUAUCCACAGUUAUAACUUCAGCUCUUUCUAGAAAAACUUAUUUAGGAUCUAUAUAGACGGUCGGUUAUGUAUUAUCCACUAUUAUUACUUCAGCUCUUUUUACAAAAGCUUGCUUAGUAUCUAUAUAGACGGUUAUAUAUUAUCCACAAUUAUUAACAUC